CCCCUGGUGUGCGGAGCACGCGCGCGGGGCGGGGGGUUGCCCAGUGCCUGGGGCCUGUAGCGUGCGGGGGCAGGGCUGUCGCUUCUGCCUGUUUGGCACGAAAUUGGCACUGAGUCGGGGGCACGUGUUCCAGCUGGUGGAUGGGAUACAAUGCGUGUGCGUGGGGUGCUGUGCCCUCCCGGCUCGCUGGAGCGCCGCGCCGCGCCAUAGCUGCAGGGUGCGUGAUGAGAGGGUUCACCGAACAGCGUUGGAUGGAGGAUAUGUUGUGCAGUGGUCAUUGUCACUGUGCUGACCCCUUGGCCUGAAUCUCUUUUUGGACAAAUUGGCUGCAGGGACUUCAGCCAAAUUGAAGAGAUUUCUGAACACAGUGGCUUAGCUUUUUGUACUGAUUUGGUGUAUACUGACUACAGUACCUUCUGUGCAUCACCCAGCUUCAUCUGUGUCUUUGGUUCCGUUUAAAGAACUGCAUGAGUCAGAUGUCUUCAUGGUCCUAUAUGAGUACUAAUAGACACUUGCCAAAUUAGUCUCCAGAAAGGAAAAUGUAUAAAGGCUAUUUGCUUUUAUUAUUGUUUUUGGAAAGCAGAUAAAUGUGCUGAGUCUGAGUGUGUGAUUAUAAGGACUUGUUUGAGGGUUGGAGCACAGAAAUCUAACAUUUGUUACAAAAACCCCAAAACGAAACCCCAAACAAAAACUGAACGGAGAAACUUAAUUUGACAAGGUUUGCUGAGCUGAUUGUUGCUCUCAGUUCUCCAAAAUGAACCAUUAUCUCCAUGGAGGUGGCACUUCUCAACCAGUCAACAAUAUGAGACCAUUUUACACAGGGAGACUAGGGCAAUCAUCAGUAUACUUUUAGUUUUGAUCCUGGACCAUAUAUAUAUAUAUAAUCUCACACUCUCUCUCACACACACACACACACACACACGAAGGGGCACAAAGACAAACUAUACACAUAACAAAGUAAAUGAUUUUUAAUAAUAAUUUAAAAUUACGAUAGUUAGCAAUUAGAGCAAGUGACUAGGGGUUAGACUUGGGCUCUAUUCCUGACUGGAUCGUUGACUUACAGGAUAACUUGAUCUGUCAUUAAUCCGUGUGCUUCAUUUUCUCUGUAAAUUAUUGCUAUUUUACCACCUUUGUAAAGUGUUUUGAAAUCAUCAGAUGAAAGGUGCUAUAUAUGCAAAGGACAGUGUUAUUUUCUCCACAGCCUAUCCCAAGCAUUAACCUUAUCACAGUACUUUAAAACAAACAGCAGUAAUUUCACCAACAUCAGUUGUCUCACUGAAUAUCAGAUUACAGAUUUCACAAACAAACCACCUGUAUGACUGCAACUAAUUUGACUGCUGUAAUUCCAAUCUCUUCAAUCUAAGGCCUGGUCUAGUCACAUUUUUAUAUCAGUUUUAUCUGAUUAGAACAGAUAUAAUUAAAUAAGCACAAAUGUAGAUAGUCUGUUUACAGAAAUAAGCUGUAUCAAGGUAAGCACCUUUAUACUGUAUAACUGCCUCCCUAUGAGGGGUUGUGCUGAUUUCUAAACAGAUAUUAAAAUGGUGCAAAUGCUAUAUGUAGACAAGCCUUAAGACAGGUCUUUCAUAUGUUCCUGUGAGAAGAGAAGACUUUGCAGCAUGGCUAUAAGAUUACUAAAUCCAGGCCUUAGUAUAAACCAAGCUGGUUAUUUAUUGGUAAUUGGCUAUCCUGGGAAGAUAACUGUUUUGCAUGUGAAAAACAAAUACCCACGAACUGUUCCUGAAGCAUCCUGAUAUUGUAGUGGCUUUGUAAAGAAGUAGAAGACACAUAAAUAACAUUAUCUGUUUGGUUCAUUGAUCCAGACUGUUUUUGUCAGCUUUAGAGGAAUACACAAUGCAUUCAAAAAACCUGUGCGUAAAGUAGAAGUUGGGUCCACAUCAAGUUUAAAACUGAUGGGGGUUUCCUUCUGAAUUAUUGUUGUUGGUUUUUUUAUAUUUGUGAUGCCUAGUUUCAGUUAAGUGGUGGUUAAAUUAUUUGUAGUUUAUAAAGAUGUUGUAAAAUCAAAUUGUUUUAAUUAAAUAAAUGACUUGCAGAUGGAGAGAAUUUAAGUAUUGGUUAGCAUAAUCCACUUACCUUUUAGGUAUGUAUUCCAUAAUCCUUUACCAUGUCUGAAGAAAUGGCUUAGAUCAGCAGUCCAAUCUUGUUCGAUUCUGCAGCAAAGUCUUAAUUCUGAACACUGAGUUGGAAUUACUUCUAUAACAGUGUAUUUUGAUGUAUCAGACUUCACUCAGGACCCAGGCUCUAAAGAGAAGUCGUCUUCAGUAUCAAAAUGCAAACUGAGAAAACACUGACCAGGAACAUUUCUUCAACUUUUUUCUUUGCUUCAAUGUAAAAGUUCAACUUUAAAGAGGAGGACUAGGCAAUCUGAUUUAUGAUUCCAUUCCGCAAGUUGUUGAUAACUUCCUGCAAGGUGCUAUGUAUGCUCAGCCAUCUGUGAAUUUAUUGAGAAUUGAGGGUGAUCAGGACCUACUUCCACUGUCACCACCUUCACACUAGUCAAUACUGGUAAAGAUUAGAAUUAUCUAACUAGUAAACUCUUAAUGAACCACCUAGUGGCAGAUAGCCCCCCACACUUCCUGGAUUCAUCUGGCUUGAAAAACUUUUAAGGAAACCUUGCUUAUAUUAGCGCAAAAGAAGUCUGGCAAUCUAGAUUCUGGGUACUUGUGAUUUCCUAUCACCACAGAAUCUGAGCACCUCAGAAACAUUAAUGAUUUGCUCCUCAUACCAUUCCUUCUGAGAUAGGAAAGUAUAUUCUUACUUUUUUUAACAGGUGGGGAAAAUAAGCCACAAUGAAACUAAAUGACCUCCCAAAGUAUCACAUGAACUCUAUGGCAGAGCUGAACACACAUCUGAGUUUCAGUGCUGUCCUUAACAACAGGAUCCUUUCUUUCAGUAAUUAGCAUUUCCCUCCCCGUGAAGCUUCUAAUAUUCAUCUAGUCCUAGUUGUUCCCCUUAAACAUACCUACUCGGGUUUUUCAGAUACUACCCAUCCCUUUCAAAUGUUUCCCAGUUCCUCUGCAAUCUUGUUUUUAGAGCUUUUCAGUACAACAUCAUACAGACACAGUACAACUUCAAAAAGUUUUUUUCCUCCUGCUAACGAUAGCUCAUCUCAAUUGAUUAGACUCUGCCUGUUGGU